UGGCAAUCCAACAGCAGAAUGGGAGGAUAAAAUAAUCAGAACUAGAGUGCCACAGAUCUUUCUGAGGAAGUACUACCAUAUGACUUCACCUUCUCAGGCUGAGGUAUCAGCUUGACUGUCACUCCACAGAUCAAGACUAGAGGUAAAUGUAAACACUAUACAGGUGGGAUGAGAAACAGCUGUUCAGCUGCCUGGCUAGAAGAACAGGCCCAGUUCUUUGCUACAGGAUGGACAUGGAAAAGUUCAGGCAUUUGAAGUUACUGGCGUCAGCCACAUGAGAUUGAUGACGGGAUUGGCUUCUACAAGAGGUCCAUGUGGUUCUCAUUUCUGAAAACAGAUGUUUGGAAACCAAUGUUUUCAAAGAUAAUAUGAAACUACACCAAUAUGCUGCACUAUGGAGAAAAACUAACCUUGACAGAAGAAAAAAGAUUUUCUUGAGGCAGAAGAUGAAGGACUAUUGGUCGGGACAUUCACAGAAGUCUGUUCUGUAAGUUGGGUUAUAUGGAAGCAGAGAUGCUAGGUCAACCCAUGUUGUGCCCUCCCUCUUUUGGUAAGCAAAACACUGAUGCUUAUGACAUCUUCCUUUUCUUUGGUGGUGGCCUUGAAAAUUGUUAUUCCUUCCAGAAAGGGCUGGAUGUCACUCGCUUAUGAAUUUGAAUCCUUCUCUUUUUGCCAAAUGAUAGAACUGAGCUUGCUCCAUGAGCUUCAUGUGUGUAAACAUUAGUGGGGAUCCAAGUGGCUCUGCAGGUAGAAUAGACACUCAGGUCCCUCCUGCCCAAGUCCAGGGGCUUGCUUCCAUGAAUCCAAUCCUUUAGUUCAUAUCAGUUCAUGGUGUACCAGAAGCCUCAACACAUCUGCAAAUUUUUACAGAACAUGUUUGUGCAAGGAAAUAAAUUAGGUCACCAGGCCUUCAAAGGCUCCUUCCACUUAGGGGUGGUGGAGCCCAUGAAGCUGAGAAUCACCCUUGCCAGCUGUUGGAACUUGAAAUAAUCCUCCAAAAACCUCUUGCUAUUUUAGGAGGGUCAUCCUGGUGGGUCUGUGUAUGCUGUAAAAGAGUGGCUCACUAUUUAACCACCCAUCUCUACUGUGCUGAUUUAGGGACCACGAUCACUUGAGCUUUUCUUGGUGCCUGGGAUCUGUCUUUCUGCACAGGGAUAAUCUAGGCUUAUUUGUGGCUUUUUUCCCCUGCAUUUCCUUUACUUGCUCACUUUCCUUCUUUUCCUCACUAUGUUUCCAUUUGAAAUCAGUUUUCACAUAUGCAUUUCAGUGCAACUCUACCUUCAGGAACUUACUGGAUUACACAGGAAAUUCCUUAUAGUGUGUGACCAUCUGCACUGCAAACAAUUUUCAGGGAAUUGACUAGCUACUAAUACCACUUACAAAAAAUCUAAUAAGGGGUUUAACAUUUUCAUAAGGAAAAUUAAUAUUUAUAUUUUCUGUUUUGG
rnacentral:lncRNA from 1 species